ensembl:lncRNA
UUAUUCUUAAGUUUUAAAAUGUAGCACACUGUUCUUUGAUGCUCUUAUUUUUCUCCCUUUUUAAAACACAGGUUCCUAGUAUGCUCCACUGGAGUCAUCUGGAGCCUGCAAGCAUUUGUACUGUUUAUGUUCAAUCAAGGAUAGAUGCCUUCAUUUCUCCAAAUAAUGGUUCAUCUCACAAAUAAUGAAUACAUAAAAAGAUUUAGAAGCUGUAUUGAAAAGAAUGUUAAAUGUCAUGAGAUUCAGCAGUUUAAAAUAACUGGUUCCUGCUUUGCUAGGGGAACUCACGUUUUGUGUGGCAUUGCCAGCUCAGAAGAGCAAGUAAAAAUUGUUACAAACAUUUUUUUAUCUGUUCCUAUUUGAAGAUACAAAAGUGCAUUUAGUCAAGGUUGCAAAGCAAUCCAGUUCAAGUUGUUCAAAGGCACAGAAGUGUUGCUAUGGGUUGGGGUCAUCCCAUGUCCUUCGCCCCACCCUACUAAGCAGUCUUCUGUAUCUAUCAAAAUUUUAGUUUGAAAUAAUUAUUCAGUGAGAUCUUUUUUUAUUUUUUAUACAUGGUUUUCAUUGUUAGAACUUUGUCUCUGGAGCUCCUUGUUCUGCUGAACAGAUAGCUGUAUGAAGGCAUUUGCACGUUUCUGUCAACAGUACUGAUCCAUAAAUCCCCUGUCUGAAGCCUUUUGAAGAACCUGGUCACGCAAUUUCUAACUUCUGUCAAACUCUAUGCCAUAAUAUUUGCUGGCACCUGCUGAUAUUUUUACCCAAGCUACUAAGAAAUUAAACCCAGCACUUUGAGGACAUAACCAGAAACCUAGGGAAAGCUGGUUCAUUUGGGAGAGCUGCAGAAUAGCUUGUAUGCCAGAAUUGCCCUGCGACCGGCCCAUUUCACAGCAGCACACAGCCGAGCACACCAGGAGAAAAACAAUGUUGAUAACACAUUGAUGUUUAUAUUUGCCUGCUGAGACAAGGCUAGUCACAGUGAAGGGCCCAAGGAGGCGCGUGGGAACAGAAAUGGGACGGCUGACUUAAACAAGCCAAAGGGAUAUUCCGUACUAUAUGACAUCAAGUGGAAAGAGUUUUGAAGAGGGUGAGAGUUCACGAUCUGUCUCUUUGCUGCUCAGUGGGCUAGUUCAGCAUCAUUUGGGGACUGGUGAGCAAUUACGUGUGCAUCACUUGUUAAAUACAUUGUGGUGGAAACCCCAUCCUUGGAGACAUUCAGGGUCAGAAUGGGAAGCGCUCUAAGCAACCUGUCUAGCUCUAGGUGUCGCUGUUCAUUGCAGGGGAGUUGGACUAGACGACCCUUGAAGCGUCAAACAGUUCUAGGAAUCUGUGAUAAUGCUACAGGCAUAGAAUGUGCGUUUUUCAGCUUUUCUCUGUGAUUGACCAGGGCCGAAGAAAAGGUACUGCUCUGACUCCUUGUGGCCGUUCACAUGUAAAGUGUUAU